rnacentral:rRNA from 1 species
UACGGAGGAUGCGAGCGUUAUCCGGAUUUAUUGGGUUUAAAGGGUGCGUAGGCGGGAGAUCAAGUCAGCGGUAAAAAUGCGGGGCCCAACCCCGUCGAGCCGUUGAAACUGGUGAUCUUGAGUGGGCGAGAAGUACGCGGAAUGCGCGGUGUAGCGGUGAAAUGCAUAGAUAUCACGCAGAACUCCGAUUGCGAAGGCAGCAUACCGGCGCCCAACUGACGCUCAGGCACGAAAGCGUGGGUAUCGAACAGG